ensembl:lincRNA
UACAUAUAAUUACAGUAUAUUUCUUACCAUGUAUCAUGAUCAAAAGUGUUUGAAACCUUCCAACAAGCUGCAUUGAAGAGACACUGCUUGAAAGAUUCCUGAGCCUGGGUCACAGACACUUUGGAGCCAGUGGGAAAGUAGGGAGUGUCUCUAGGGAACACAGAUAUGCCCAAUAUUUUGCACACAAUGUUGAUAGUCCACAGACUUUGCAGCCCAUCCACAGACCCUGGUCAAAUUCUCUAACCUGGAGAUUAAGGUCAGGAGGGAGAAAGGGAGACAGAGGAGAGAGCAAGGCUCAUGCAUUAGUCAGAUUUUCCAUUACUGGGACAAAAUAUUUGACACCCACAACUUAAAGGGUAAAAGGGUAACUCAUGACUUGUGCUUUCAGAGGUUUCAGUCCAUGGUUGGCUGGCUUCAGGGCAGAAACAUCAUGGCAUAAAGUGUAAGGAAGCAACCUGUUCAUCUCAUUGCCACCAAGAAGCAGAGAAAGAGGGGAAGAGCCAAAGGAAAUUAUACCCUUCCAAGGCACAUUCCCAGGGACCUACAUCCUCCAACCAGGCUCCACCUCCUCAGAGCAGUUCCGCUAUGAAGUCAUCAAUGGGUUCAUCCACUGAUGAGCUUAGUGCCCCCUGAUCCAGUCACCUUCCAAAAGCCCCACCUGUGAACACAUGAGCCUUUUAGGGGAAACUUUUGAUCCAAACCAUAAGUCUGGCUCCUGGAGCCUUACAUUUCUGAUGAGAACUAGGCCAUCCAUCUCCCGGGGCAUCCUCGAGGCCUCCAAGGACAAGGAGUUCCUGAUCCAGUUCGAAUUUUGGGAAGAGUAUGCUGGGAACUCUCAGAUGCCAGGACUCCAUGCGGUGGCCUUGUCACAGACAUGUGGUAUGGUAGAAGACUGUAGAUGGGGCACAGUUGGGAGAAGUUUUCAAGAGGGCUGGUGCUGGAGUAAAGGAAGCUGAGGGAAGGCUUGGAUUUGUUACAGAAAAAAGCCAUCUUGCAUUCAUUUGGGCCACCUCAUUUCAAAACAUGGAACUGACAGGACAAGUGCUGUGAAUGCAGAGUCAGCUUGUACUGGAUCUCAGUCAAUGGGGGAAAUACAGGGAGACUGCAAGCUGGCAACAGCCCAGGCAGUGGGGUACUAAGGCAGCAGGCCUAUGUCUUCCCUGGGGCAGGAAAGGCAGGGUGUAGAGAAUUUAAAACCAAGAAUAAAACCAACCAACUAUUGAGUCUACUUUUCAUUAUCACCAUGAACAUUGAACAUUAGAAAAUAUCUGUUAAAAAAUGGUCAUCCCCAUGCCCCUCCCAAAAUUGUGUGUGUAUGUGUUCUACAUUCUAAACAAUUGAUACAGUUACAGUUUACUUAUUUUACUUAAUAAAGUCAAUAAACUUACAUGUACUGACAUAAUAUAUAUAGUACAAUCUCUAAUAUAUACUGUUAAGUGAACUAAACAGUAUGCAGAACACUUAAACUAUUUUAAAAGGUGGCAUAUAUAAAAACAUUUAUUACACUACAUGACACAUUGCUAUUAAUUCCCAUCAUUACAAACACACUUAUCCUGUCAUUCCUGCCACUUCUGAAGCAGUUCUAGAAGUCCUCUUUCCUGAGAGUCUUUACUAGUGCCGUGGUGACUGACUCAAUAUCCUGCAGAUUCAGAACCUUUACCUUUCUUGGUCACACAUGACUUUGGGGAAGAGCCAAAAAUCUUAUAGCACCAGAUCCAGUGAAUAAAGUGGAUGAAGACACACUGUGAUGUUUUUAUCAGCUUGCCUUUCCAAUGGAUGGCAAGCAUCAUUCCCUGUAUUUUUUAUUAUAUCGCAUAAAGAUGCUAAAGAGAACUUCCAGAACUGCUUCAGAAAGGGCAAGAACAAUGGGGUAAGUAUGUCUGAAGUAACAGGGAGUGUUUUGAAGAGAAUUAAUGGCAAUGUGUCUUUUACUGUAAUACUGUGUUAUGUAAACACACACCAUAGUUUUUGAUUAGCACUUAUACAUACACAUUAAUAGAGUAUCUUUACACAUUAAUAGAGUAUCUCCUCAAGGACUUUACACAUUAAUAGAGUAUCUCCUCAAGAACAUAAAGAACUCUGCAGACUUAAAGAAUGAUAACACAUGAUUCUAAAGUAGAGGAACCAUUUUGAUUCUUUUAGUAUGUGUCACUAUUUAGAAAUUUUAUGCCAAAAAUUUUAAUAUAGUGCAGCAGAGUAUGAAUUGCAAAAUGCAAUAUUUUUAUUUGGUAAAUGCAACUUUUGGUUCCUAUGGAAAAUGUUUUACGAAUCUGAGCAACAUUUUUAACACUGGCAUUGAUUUUUCUUGCUAAAUUGUUAGUUGUUCAUUUUAAAGUGAAAGAGCACCUCGGAGGGGAACAGCUACAAUGUUAUAUGUUUCUCACAUGAAUGAUUUUGUGGCAUGGUAGAGUGUGAAAUGAUCUGCUCUGGGUAUCUGAUAGGAAUUUGGAUUUUAAUCAGAAUUUAAAAGUGCUUUUGGACAUUAUUUUAAUUUUAUUCACACAAGAAUUGCUUGGAGGAACAAUUUAAUCAGCACUGGUAAAUCGGUCACUUUUAGGGCCAUUCUAGAUGGCUUUGAGGGAUCUCAGGAGAACCCAUCUUAUUAAUCUUACUAGUGACACACUCAUUCUGUUUUCUAAUACCAGGAAGUUCUUAUUUACUGAUACUGCAAUUCCUAGGGGAGGGCGAGAUCUUCUUAUUCCAUAAAUGAGCAGCUGAACAAAUAAAUGUUGUGAUGGAGGCAUCUCAGCCAAUGGAGCAGGGAAGCUCUGUGACAUACAGGUGAGGUCCCAGGCAGGGAAGCUCUGGGAAGGGAGGAUUUGAAGAGCCCCGUAGGAAUUUGAAGAUCUGAGAUUCGGCAGGUAGCUUCUCCCUGGUGAGGGAGGGGUAUGAAAGACCAGGAAUAAACAGCAAGACCCCCUCCUUCUUCCUAAGGAGAACCCUGUAUUCCUUCAGGUAGGCUGGCUGUGCCACAGGACAGGAAGGCAAAGCUGCUUCAUGCUAAGUAUGACAGGUCUUCCUUCCUCUCUCUCCUCAGCAAGCCUAGCUUCCUAUCAGUGCUUCCCCAACCUCCUGUCUGUAGCUCUGUGAGUGGAGGCCUCCUUUUGUAGCAGAAUUUCCCACUGACUGGGUGCAGGUCCCAGCUGUGCUACUUUAUCACCACCAACCUAGUUUCAGGGGGGGGUUACUGCAGCCUUGUGUCCCUGGCAUCAUCUCCUGCUUCAUCCUAGUGGGACACACAAACACCAUUCUGUGUGAGUGUCAUUUUGUUCAGAAGGUGGAGAACUGUCCCGGGGACAAAGACUAUAUUGUUCCCAGUUGCUUGGCAGAAAGGGACGUGUUCGGUGUGGAUGAGGAAAAGAUUCUGUGAUCUGUUUGAUUCCUUGGUGAAAACGAUCUUUGGUGGCGCUGUUGCUUCUGGGUUAAUGUGAGUGUUUUGCAACUCGGCAUCUUGUGGGGAGCACAUGGCCAGCUGGAAAUGUCCUCUUGUGAUUCGAAGCCCAGCUGCUGUUGCUGGCCGUAGCUUGGGGCUAUCUUCAGCCUCCCUACCAGCCUCUCCACCAGCCUCUCCAUGUUCUCUUGCUUCAAGAAUCACACAGAUACAGCCGAGCCAUACACGGACUUUCUUUUUCUUCUGAAAACACAGAGUGGGCUCUGUAGCUUCAGUUCCAAGAUUGUCUGGGCCCAUUUCUGAGAGCUAGCACCAGCUGUGCCCAAGAGUAAUGGCAACGGUCUACAGUAGUUGUCAAAUUGUGACAUACAAGUGAGGUCCCAGUGAGUGACUCCUUCUGCGGAUUUACAGCUGGGAUGAAGCCACCCAGGCCUCAUUCACAAUGUGUCCAGGUCUCCUGUUCUGCUCCCACCAGCAAUGAGUGGAACCUUAGAGACACAGAGUGUGGUGGCCAGGGACAAACUGUGGCUUGUAAGGUGCAGUCAGUCAAUGAACAUUAGUCAAAUGUCUUUUGGUUCAGGAGCUGUGACCUGGGUGUGCAGGGCCCAACAAGAUAAUGAGAAAAGUUCCUAGCAAAGCGCAAAUCUUCUGCAAGCAAAAGCUGAAGUGUGCUGAAGUUAGAAAGAUGGUUAUGUAAAGGGAAAUGUGUAACCAUGUCUAUCUUCCAUGUUCGUAAGGGUGCUAGUCUAAUUCUGCCUAUCCUAGAGGAUCUGCUUCCAACAUCCCAAGGGCCCCAGGCAAAAGCACCCAUGAAGUCCUGCCCUUGUCUGGAUAUUUAGGAACAUAAAUCAAGCCCACAGACAGUUACAUAAAAUAUGAUCUGUUUUCAUACUUAUAAAAUGUAUAUUCAUAUACUUUUUCAUAUAUUCAUAUAUUUCAAGACAAACUUGAAAAAUGUAUAAAGCUAUAGCUUCUACAUGACCAAAAGUUGGCAAAUAACAAAGAUGACUGAAUUAAUU